UACGAGGGCCCCAAGCAUUAUCCGGAUUUAUUGGGCGUAAAGCGUCUGUAGACGGUUUGUCGCAUCUCCUGUUAAAUCCUCUGGCUCAACCAGGGGGCUGCGGGAGAGAUGGAUAAACUAGAGACUGGAAGAGGCAAUAGGAAUUGCUGGUGUAGGGGUUAAAUCCGUUAAUAUCAGCAGGAACACUCAAUGCGAAGGCAAAUUGCUGGGACAGUUCUGACGUUCAGAGACGAAAGCGUGGGGAGCGAAUGGGAUUAGAUACCCCAGUAGUCCACGCCGUAAACGAUGGAUGCUAAAUAUUGGAAGUAUCGACCCUUCCAGUGUUGUUAAUUUAAGGUAACCCGUUAAGCAUCCCGCCUGGGGAGUACGAGCGCAAGCUUAAAACUCAAAGGAAUAGACGGGGACCCGCACAAGCGGUGGAGCAUGUGGUUUAAUUCGACGAUAAACGAAGAACCUCACCAAGGUUUGACAUCUAGCUGCAUGUCCUGGAAACAGGAAGGCCUUCGAGGGUGCUAGACAGAUGCUGCAUGGUUGCCGUCAGUUCGUGUCGUGAGAUGUACCGUUAAGUCGGAAAACGAACGCAACCCUUAUCUCAUGUUUUAUAUGUCAUGAGAGACUGCCCGUUUUAAAUGGGAGGAAGGUGGGGAUGACGUCAAAUCAGCAUGGUUCUUACACCUUGGGCUACACACGUGCUACAAUGGUAAAUACAAAGGGACGCCAAAUCGCGAGAUGGAGCAAAUCCCUAAAAAUUUAUCUCAGUUCGGAUUGAAGUCUGCAACUGACUUCAUGAAGUUGGAAUCGCUAGUAAUCGUAGGUCAGCUAUACUACGGUGAAUACGUUCUCGGGUCU
rnacentral:rRNA from 1 species